UACGUAGGCAGCAAGCGUUGUUCGGAAUUACUGGGCGUAAAGAGUGUGUAGGCGGUGCUCUAAGUUCGGUGUGAAAUCCCUCGGCUUAACCGGGGAACUGCGUCUGAUACUGGAUGGCUUGAGUUUGGGAGAGGGAUGCGGAAUUCCAGGUGUAGCGGUGAAAUGCGUAGAUAUCUGGAGGAACACCGGUGGCGAAGGCGGCAUCCUGGACCAACACUGACGCUGAGUGAGCGAAAGCCAGGGGAGCAAACGGG
rnacentral:rRNA from 1 species